CACGAAGGGGGCUAGCGUUGCUCGGAAUCACUGGGCGUAAAGCGCACGUAGGCGGAUCUUUAAGUCAGGGGUGAAAUCCCGAGGCUCAACCUCGGAACUGCCUUUGAUACUGGGGAUCUCGAGUCCGGGAGAGGUGAGUGGAAUUGCGAGUGUAGAGGUGAAAUUCGUAGAUAUUCGCAAGAACACCAGUGGCGAAGGCGGACUCACUGGCCCGGUACUGGACGCUGAGGUGCGAAAGCG
rnacentral:rRNA from 1 species